UACGUAGGUGGCAAGCGUUGUCCGGAUUUACUGGGUGUAAAGGGCGCGUAGGCGGGCAGGCAAGUCAGAUGUGAGAUCUUAGGGCUCAACCCUAAAAUUGCAUUUGAAACUGCAGGUCUUGAGUAUCGGAGAGGCAAGCGGAAUUCCCAGUGUAGCGGUGAAAUGCGUAGAUAUUGGAAGGAACACCAGUGGCGAAGGCGGCUUGCUGGACGACAACUGACGCUGAGGCGCGAAAGCGUGGGGAGCAAAC
rnacentral:rRNA from 1 species